AAAAAAUUGAUCUAGACCCUACACUUCAAAAUAAGAAAUAAAACAAAUAUUUUAUGUUUUUUUUUGGUUGAACAGGAAGAAAAAAAUGGAGGUAUAGGAAGAAGCACCUGCAAUAAAGAAUGUCCUAACAACCCAUAGGUUUCUUCAACCCAGCUCCAAAAUUUUGUUCAAAAGGUUCCUCCCUCCGCCACCAUAGGUUUUCUGGUUGCAUCUCCCCAAAUUUAUUUUAUUCCAAAACUAACCUUAAGUGAUUUUUUUUACUUUUACUCUUUUUAAUUUAAAACCCUAACCCUAUUUUCUUUCCCUCUUCAUUGUCGUUGCAUUCCCCACACCCCCACAUAACCUCUCAUUUCUCUCUUUCACUCUAUUCUUCCUCCUCUCCUCCUCUUCCUCUCUUAUUUCUCAUUUUCGUUUCACCCCUCCAUCAUUUCAUUGCUUCCAUUGUCAAGUUUCUUCCAUUUUUCGGUGCUUCCAUUAUCAUUGAGGUGCUCAGUUCGCGAAGAGGAGUGUGGUUUGUGGUUGGUUUCGUCUCUUCAACAUACACUUGGAUCCAGGUUGGUUUCCUAUUCCUUUUCAUGGUUAAUGGUUUCUCUGUGAUUUGGCCUGCAUUUUGUUUGGUUUGGUAUUUAGCCUCUAUUUGGUAUGUUUGUUGAUAUGUUGUAUGUGAUGUGCAAUGUUGCUAUGUUUUUUUAUGUUCUGUGUGCAUGAAAGAAUGAAAAAACGAAGGAGGGAAACCGCGAAGGCCACAACAGAAAUGGGAUAUUCGUUGGGUCUUCAACGAAUGUCCAUAUCGGUUAGCAAUUUCAUAACCAAUGUCUGGUAUAGUCAUUCACUUUUUCGUGUUAGUAAAGAUAAAUAAAAUAAAUAAACUACAUAAAAGGGAAACACGUACCACCGACUGAGAUUGAACUAGCAAAGACAUCCUCAAUUCUUCUAAUCUAUCAUAGCCGCC
rnacentral:lncRNA from 1 species